GAGUUCAUGCCCUUCGGGGUAGACCUCCCACCCUAUGUAUACAUUGCCUUUGUUGCUUCGGCGGACCGCCUUCGGGCCACCGGCUCCGGCUGGUGCGCGCCUGGCAGAGGACCCCAACUCUGAAUCAUAAACAUGUCGUCUGAGUACUAUAUAAUAAGUUAAAACUUUCAACAACGGAUCUCUUGGUUCU
rnacentral:misc_RNA from 1 species